AGACUAAAAUCUCACUAUCUAAAAAUUAUUUUGUUAUCUGGUGUCUUUUAAAUCACAAUUAGGGAUUCAGAAGACCUUUACUCACUGUGUGAUUAAAAAUUGAGCCUUGGUAUUUCA